GUUUUGAGGAGCCCAAGGAUCUAUCUAUAUUGUAUCUAACACCUAGAGCGGGGUGAAUAGGUGUAAAAGCCAAAAAACCACAAAUCUCAAUGCGAUAAAAAUAAAUGCGAAAAAUAAAAAUCACACCGAGAUUUAUGUGGGAAAACUCCAACUUGGAGUAAAAAACCCACGGGACCAACACGCGAUAACAAUCCACUAAGAAUAAAAGAUUACAAGGUGAUUUACCGAAUCCACGGACUCAAACCUCUCUUUUAUCUUCUCCGGAUCUCGCGCACGCCAAUGGGUUGUCCACGCCCCAC
rnacentral:lncRNA from 1 species